GGCGAAGAUGAACAUUGCUGAAUUCUGACACCUCUUGUAUGAGUUGAGUCUUUUGAAAAUAAAGACUCUUCCUUGAGCACAGAUAGCAACUCUCUGAGCC